rnacentral:piRNA from 1 species
UGGACUAAUACAGGGCGAUAUACCCAGUA